rnacentral:tRNA from 1 species
GGAAUGUAGCUCAGUGGCAAAGCAUAUGCUUAGCAUGCACAAGGCCCUGGGUUUGAUCCCCAGCACCA